ensembl:lncRNA
AUGACAGAGGGGUCAAACCCCUCGCGCACCGGCCGGUUGUCUCCUAUCCAUCAAAGUGGAUAUGCGCGCGAGACGCAGGAGCGUUCAGGCGCUGUCGCAUAUGCGUGUCUCGCGCUUGCCGCCUUUUGCCGAUUUGAAGGGCAACGAUCCGUUGAGGACUUGUCCGAACACCCCACAAGAAAGCAAAAAACCAGCAUACUCACUGUUUUUCAGGAUCCAGACACUGUUCUCCCUGCGGCACUUCGACACUUGUAUAUCCAUUCCACAGCUGCCCAUUUCAGCGACGUUUACAGCCGACGGGGCUUUGCCUGGCGCAAGGAGAAAAGGGUUAUAUCAAAUUCAUACACACAAGGACAAGAUUACGGCCCCCCCAAUGCACUUGAGGCCUUGCACAGUCUUGGUGGAUGGUUCCAACAGUGAACGGGCUCCAUUGAGUAAUUCAAGAUGGUCUUGCGGUUACAAGGGAGGUAAGAGAGCAAUACAUUUCCUACGAAAAGUAAGUUGAAACGCUGAAAAGAAACGUGAGAAUUAUAAUCAUAACAACAGCAAUGAUAAUGCAAGCAAUCGUAAUAAUAGAGCAACAAGGUUCAAAAGGAAAAGACAUUUAAUU